rnacentral:tRNA from 1 species
UCCCUGAUAGCUCAGUCGGUAAAGAAUCUGCCUGUAAAGCAGGAGACCCUGGUUAUAUUCCUGGGUUGGGAA